rnacentral:rRNA from 1 species
ACUCAAAACUCAAAGGACUUGACGGUGUCCCAAACCAACCUAGAGGAGCCUGUCCUAUAAUCGAUAAUCCACGCUACACCUCACCCCCCCUCGAAACCAGUCUGUAUACCACCGUCUUCCAGUUCGCCUUAUGACAGACCCAUAGCGAACACAACAGCCCACCACUAAAACGGCAGGUCAAGGUGCAACUAAUGGGAGGGCAGCGAUGGGCUACAUUUUCUAUAACAGAACACCACCCCCCGCCACAUGAAACAUAGGCCACAAGGCGGAUUUAGCAGUAAGCCAAACA